rnacentral:rRNA from 1 species
UACGUAGGGUGCAAGCGUUAAUCGGAAUUACUGGGCGUAAAGCGUGCGCAGGCGGCUUUGCAAGACAGAUGUGAAAUCCCCGGGCUUAACCUGGGAACUGCAUUUGUGACUGCAUGGCUGGAGUGCGGCAGAGGGGGAUGGGAAUUCCGCGUGUAGCAGUGAAAUGCGUAGAUAUGCGGAGGAACACCGAUGGCGAAGGCAAUCCCCUGGGCCUGCACUGACGCUCAUGCACGAAAGCGUAGGGAGCAAACAGG